AACCCGACCCCACGAAGCUGGAUUCGCUAGUAAUCGCGCAUCAGCCAUGGCGCGGUGAAUACGUUCCCGGGCCUUGUACACACCGCCCGUCAAGCCAUGGGAGCCGGGAGUGCCUGAAGGCCGUGACCGCAAGGAGCGGCCUAAGGUAAAACUGGUGACUGGGGCUAAGUCGUAACAAGGUAUC
rnacentral:rRNA from 1 species